GUAGGUCGACGCCGUAUGCGCUCAGUCAGUUGCGCGCUGGUCGAAUGUGUGGAUGGAUUUGUGUGGAUCGUUAUCGGUGGUUUUUGGUGUACAUCGGCUGGUUUUUAUGCGAGUAUUGGAAUAAAACGGUGUUGCAGGGUAUCCUUACGAGAAGGAGCACCCUUUCGAAGGGUAAGAAAGAAGUGAGUUGUUGGUCCGAUUGACAAAAUGACGACCGACAUCUCGGUGGUGCGCGGGGGUUGGGACCCGACGCUACAACAAGAGAUUGUCGAUGAGUACGAAUACGACGGGGGAAACUCGAGUUCGAGACUUUUCGAACGUUCACGGAUCAAAGCUUUAGCUGGUGAACGUGAAUUGGUACAAAAAAAGACUUUCCAAAAAUGGGUCAACUCCCACUUGGUUCGAUGCUCUUGCCGGAUCGGGGACUUGUACGUCGAUCUCCGCGACGGGAAAAUGCUGAUCAAGCUUCUCGAGAUCCUCUCCGGGGAACGGUUGCCGCGACCGACGAAAGGGAAAAUGCGGAUCCACUGUUUGGAGAACGUGGACAAGGCGUUGCAAUUCCUACGCGAGCAACGCGUCCACUUGGAAAACAUGGGCUCGCACGACAUAGUGGAUGGAAAUCCGCGAUUAUCCCUAGGCCUCAUUUGGACCAUAAUCUUGCGAUUCCAGAUACAGGAUAUCACGAUCGAGGAGACGGAUAAUCAGGAAACGAAAUCGGCCAAGGACGCGCUUCUUCUCUGGUGCCAGAUGAAAACCGCCGGUUACCAUAACGUGAACGUGAGGAAUUUCACGACUUCUUGGCGCGACGGGUUGGCGUUCAACGCCAUCAUUCACAAACACCGGCCAGAUUUGAUCCAGUUCGAGAAACUGUCCAAGUCGAACGCCAUAUACAACUUGAACAACGCGUUCAACGUGGCCGAGGACAAGCUCGGUCUGACGAAACUUUUGGACGCGGAGGAUAUUUUCGUGGACCAUCCGGACGAGAAAUCGAUCAUCACUUACGUGGUCACGUAUUACCAUUACUUCUCCAAGAUGAAACAGGAGACGGUGCAAGGUAAAAGGAUAGGCAAAGUGGUCGGCAUUGCAAUGGAGAACGAUCGCAUGAUACACGAGUACGAGAGCCUGACCAGCGAUCUGUUGCGUUGGAUCGAGGGUACUAUAGAGGCGUUGGGCGACCGCCGAUUUGCCAAUUCGUUGGUGGGUGUCCAGUCUCAGCUUUCCCAAUUCUCCAACUACCGAACCGUGGAGAAACCGCCCAAGUUCGUCGAGAAGGGGAACCUCGAGGUGUUGCUGUUCACCUUGCAGUCGAAGAUGCGCGCGAACAAUCAGAAACCGUACACGCCCAAGGAGGGGAAGAUGAUCUCGGACAUAAACAAGGCGUGGGAGAGGUUGGAGAAGGCGGAGCACGAGCGCGAGCUAGCCCUUCGGGAGGAGUUGAUCCGCCAGGAGAAGUUGGAGCAAUUGGCGGCGAGGUUCAAUCGGAAGGCGAGCAUGAGGGAGACCUGGCUGUCCGAGAACCAGCGCCUCGUCUCCCAGGACAAUUUCGGCUUCGACUUGGCGGCCGUCGAGGCGGCGGCGAAGAAGCACGAGGCCAUCGAGACGGACAUCUUCGCGUACGAGGAGCGGGUCCAGGCCGUGAUGGCCGUCUCCCAGGAACUCGAGGCAGAGAAUUACCACGACAUAGAGCGCAUCAACGCCCGAAAGGACAACGUGCUCAGACUGUGGAAUUACUUGUUGGAGCUGCUCCGCGCGAGGAGGAUGAGGCUGGAGCUGUCCCUCCAGCUGCAGCAAAACUUCCAAGAGAUGUUGUACAUCCUCGACAGCAUGGAGGAGAUAAAGAUGCGCCUGUUGACCGACGAUUACGGGAAACACUUGAUGGGCGUGGAGGAUCUGUUGCAGAAGCACUCCCUGGUCGAGGCCGAUAUCAACGUGUUGGGGGAGAGGGUGAAGGCGGUGGUGCAACAGAGCCAGAGAUUCCUCGACCACGGGGAGGGAUACAGGCCUUGCGACCCGGCGAUCAUAGUGGAGCGCGUGCAACAACUCGAGGACGCUUACGCCGAGCUGGUACGAUUGGCGGUGGAGAGGAGGGCCAGGCUGGAGGAGUCUCGAAAGUUGUGGCAAUUCUACUGGGACAUGGCCGACGAGGAGAAUUGGAUAAAGGAGAAGGAGCAGAUAGUGUCCACCGGGGACAUCGGCCACGACUUGACCACGAUAAACCUCCUCCUGUCCAAGCACAAAGCGCUCGAGAACGAGAUCCAAUCCCACGAGCCCCAACUGAUGUCCGUGGCAGCGGUCGGGGACGAGUUGGUCCGCCAGAAACACUUCGGCUCGGACAGGAUCCAGGAGAGGCUUCACGAGAUCCUGGGCAUGUGGAAUCACCUGUUGGAUCUGGCUGCAUUCAGAAGGAAACGAUUGGAGGAGGCGGUCGACUACCACCAGUUGUUCGCCGACGCGGACGACAUAGACAUUUGGAUGCUGGACACGUUGCGGCUAGUCUCGUCCGAGGACGUCGGCAGGGACGAGGCCAACGUGCAGUCGUUGCUGAAGAAGCACAAGGACGUGACGGACGAGCUGAAGAAUUACGCAGCCACCAUCGACCAACUCCAUCAACAGGCCUCGUCCCUCGGCGAGCAGGACGCCAAGUCGCCCGAGGUGUUGGAGAGGCUCGCCUCCAUCGACUCCAGGUACAAGGAGUUGAUGGAGCUCGCCAAGCUUCGAAAGCAGAGGCUGUUGGACGCGUUGUCGUUGUACAAGUUGUUCAGCGAGUCGGACGGCGUGGAGCAGUGGAUAGGGGAGAAGAAUCGGAUGCUGGAGACGAUGGUCCCCGCCAAGGAUAUCGAGGACGUGGAGAUAAUGAAGCACAGGUACAACGGGUUCGAGAAGGAGAUGUACGCGAACGCGUCCCGCGUCGCAGUGGUGAAUCAACUGGCCAGGCAGUUGUUGCACGUCGAGCAUCCAAACUCGGAGCAGAUCGUGGCGCGGCAGAACGAGCUGAACCAGAAGUGGGCCGAGCUGAGGGAGAAGGCGGAGAACAAGAGGGACGAGUUGAACUCGGCCCACGGGGUGCAGACGUUCCACAUCGAGUGCCGGGAGACCGUGUCCUGGAUCGAGGACAAGAAACGCAUCCUCCAGCAGACGGACAGCCUGGAGAUGGAUCUGACCGGGGUGAUGACGUUGCAGCGCAGAUUGAGCGGGAUGGAGCGCGACUUGGCCGCGAUCCAGGCGAAGCUGGACGCGUUGGAGAUGGAGGCGCAGAAUAUCCAGCAGCAGAACCUCGAGGAUCCCGAGGUGAUCAAGGGAAGGAUCGACCAGAUACACACGAUAUGGGAGCAAUUGACGCAGAUGUUGAAGGAGCGGGACGCGAAACUCGAGGAGGCGGGCGACCUGCACAGAUUCCUCAGGGAUCUGGACCACUUCCAGGCGUGGUUGACCAAGACCCAGACCGACGUGGCGAGCGAGGACACGCCAACUACGUUGGCAGACGCUGAGAAACUGUUGACCCAACACCAGAACAUCAAGGAGGAGAUCGACAAUUACACGGACGAUUACCAGAAGAUGAUGGAGUACGGGGAGAGGUUGACGAGCGAGGCCGGGGACGGCGACACCCAGUACAUGUUCCUCAGGGAGAGGUUGAACGCUCUGAAGAUGGGCUGGGAGGAGUUGCACCAGAUGUGGGUGAACAGGAAGAUCCUGCUGUCCAAUUCCCUCAACUUGCAGAUAUUCGACCGCGACGCUCGCCAGGCAGAGGUGCUUUUGUCCCAGCAAGAGCACAUUCUCGCCAAGGAUGAAACUCCGGCCAAUUUCGAGCAGGCCGAGCACAUGAUUAAACGGCACGAGGCGUUCAUGACCACGAUGGACGCGAACGACGAGAAGAUCAAUUCCGUGGUCCAGUACGCUGGACGGCUUGUCGACGAGGGACACUUCGCGGCCGACAAAGUCAAGAGGAAGGCGGAGAGCAUCAACGAGCGACGCCGUAUAAACCGGGAGAAGGCGAACCAGUACAUGGAGAAGCUGAAGGAUCAGUUGCAGUUGCAGAUGUUCCUGCAGGAUUGCGAGGAGUUGGGCGAAUGGGUGCAGGAGAAGCACAUCACCGCCCAGGACGAGACUUACAGGAGCGCCAAGACCGUGCACAGCAAGUGGACCAGGCAUCAGGCGUUCGAGGCUGAGAUAGCGAGCAACAAGGAUCGCUUGCAGCAGUUGCAACAGGCGGCCGAGGAGUUGAUCCAACAGAAGCCAGACCUGGCCGAGAUCAUCAAGCCGAAGGUGGCCGAAUUGGCCGAUCAAUUCGAGGAGCUCGAAACGACCACGCACGACAAAGGGGAACGAUUGUUCGACGCGAAUCGGGAGGUUCUCAUCCACCAGACCUGCGACGACAUCGACUCGUGGAUGAACGAGUUGGAGAAGCAAAUCGAGAGCACGGACACGGGAUCAGAUCUGGCCUCGGUCAACAUCCUGAUGCAGAAGCAACAGAUGAUCGAGACGCAGAUGGCGGUGAAGGCGAGGCAGGUUACCGAGUUGGACAAACAGGCGGAGCACUUGCAGCGCACCGUGCCCGAGGACAAGAUGGAGGAGAUCAAGUGCAAGAAGGAGAAGGUGGCCCAGAGGUUUGCCCAGUUGAAGGCGCCGUUGAUCGACAGGCAGCGCCAGUUGGAGAAGAAGAAGGAGGCGUUCCAGUUCAGGCGGGACGUGGAGGACGAGAAGCUGUGGAUAGCCGAGAAGAUGCCGCAGGCGACCAGCACCGAGUACGGGAACUCGUUGUUCAACGUGCACAUGCUGAAGAAGAAGAAUCAAUCUUUGCGCACCGAGAUAGAGAAUCACGAGCCGAGGAUCAAUCUGGUUUGCAACAACGGGCAGAAGCUGAUAGACGAAGGGCACGAGGACAGCCCCGAGUUCCAGAAGCUGAUAUCCGAGCUGACCGAGAAGUGGAAGGAGUUGAAGCACGCGGUGGACGACAGGAACAAGCACCUCCUUCAGAACGAGAAGGCGCAGCAAUACUUCUUCGACGCGACGGAGGCGGAAUCUUGGAUGAGCGAGCAGGAGUUGUACAUGAUGGUCGAGGAUCGCGGCAAGGACGAGAUCUCUGCCCAGAAUCUGAUGAAGAAGCACGAGUCUUUGGAGCACGCGGUCGAAGAUUACGCGGAGACUAUUCGCCAAUUGGGCGAAACUGCCAGGCAAUUGAUCAACGAUCAACACCCGCUAGGCGAUCAGAUAGCCGUGAAACAAUCCCAGGUGGACAAGCUGUACGCAGGCCUGAAGGAUCUGGCCGGUGAACGGAGGGCCAAGUUGGACGAGGCGCUUCAGUUGUUCAUGCUGAACAGGGAGGUGGACGAUCUGGAACAGUGGAUCGCCGAGAGGGAAUUGGUCGCUGGAAGCCACGAGUUGGGCCAAGAUUACGACCACGUGACGCUCCUCUGGGAAAGGUUCAAGGAGUUCGCGCGGGACACGGAGGCGAUAGGGUCGGAGAGAGUGGCGGCCGUGAACGGGAUCGCGGAUUCCCUGAUAGCGACCGGCCACUCGGACGCUGCCACGAUCGCCGAAUGGAAGGACGGGUUGAACGAGGUGUGGCAGGAUUUGUUGGAAUUGAUCGAGACGCGUACGCAGAUGUUGCAAGCCAGCCGAGAGUUGCACAAAUUCUUCCACGAUUGCAAAGACGUGCUUGGAAGAAUAUUGGAGAAGCAGAACGCGAUGUCGGACGAGUUGGGCCGGGACGCCGGCUCCGUUUCAGCCCUGCAACGGAAACACGCCAAUUUCAUGCAGGAUUUGUCCACGUUGCAAAGCCAGGUGACCCAGAUACAAGAGGAGUCCGCCAAGUUGCAGGCGAGUUACGCGGGGGACAAGGCUAGGGAGAUAACGAAUCGCGAGGGAGAGGUGGUCGCCGCGUGGAACAACCUUCAGUCGUUGUGCGACGCCAGGAGGACCAAGUUGGAGGACACCGGUGAUCUGUUCCGAUUCUUCAACAUGGUCAGAACACUUAUGAUUUGGAUGGACGACGUGGUCCGCCAGAUGAACACCUCGGAGAAGCCUCGAGACGUGGCCGGGGUUGAGCUGCUCAUGAACAAUCAUCAAAGUUUGAAAGCCGAGAUAGACGCCAGGGAGGAUAACUUGAUGGCGUGCAUCAAUCUUGGAAAAGAUUUGCUGGCUAGAAAUCAUUACGCGAGCAGCCAGAUCAAAGAGAAAUUGGCAGCUCUGACGGAUCAUAGAAACGCCUUGUUGCAUAGAUGGGAGGAACGCUGGGAGAAUUUGCAACUGAUUUUGGAGGUGUAUCAAUUCGCAAGAGACGCUGCGGUUGCCGAAGCGUGGUUGAUCGCCCAAGAACCGUACCUUAUGAGCCAAGAGCUUGGCCACACGAUCGACGAAGUGGAGAACCUGAUCAAGAAACACGAAGCGUUCGAAAAAUCGGCAGCCGCGCAGGAAGAAAGGUUUAGUGCCUUGCAUCGACUCACUACGUUUGAGUUGAAGGAAAUGAAGAGGAGGGAACAAGAACGGGAAGAAGAGGAAAGACGCAAGAAAGAGGAGGCCGCGGCAGCCGAGGCAGCUCGAUUAGCUAAAGCAACGCCUGUAACUAGUCCAGACGAACCACCUAGCGAGAGAGCAGAAGCAGAGGGUGUACCAAGUGGGGAACGUCCAACUGGAGAAGAUGAGUCGCAUGUGGCACCUCGCAAGGCUUCUACACGUACACCACAGCCUCAAGACAAGCCCAAGGAAGUGCAUGUUCAGAAACCUGCGCGUCUAUCCACGCGAGGAGAAGCAACGCCACCUGCCACCUCUUCGAAACCUCCGCAAGGUCUAUCUAGUCCAACAACUCCUAAAGGUGGAAGCGGAAGCGAGUCUGGUACUUUAAGACGUAAGGAACGUAGUCGCAGCAAGUCGCCGUUCAGAAGCUUCCGUUGGAGAAAAUCCGCCAAGUCGCCGAGUUUAGAUCGCAGUGGCGUGAGUGAUGAUGAACGCAGCAUUUCUGAACAACGAAGUCCCACCGACGAUGAAUUCGAAGGCGUAUUGCAACGGAAGCACGAAUGGGAGAGUACAACGAAGAAAGCGUCUAAUCGAUCUUGGCACAAGGUGUACAUGGUUGUACGUGGACAAAGCUUGUUUGUAUAUACGGACCAAAAAUCGUACAAGGCAGCGCCUGAUCAACCGUACAAGGGAGAAUCUCCUCUCGAUCUCAGAGGAGCUACUAUUACCGUGGCGAGUGAUUAUACUAAGAAGAAACACGUCUUCCGAGUAAAGUCACAAAGCGGAUCAGAUUUCCUAUUUCAGGCUAAAGAUGAUUCUGAAAUGAACGAAUGGGUUACCGUGUUGAAUCAAGCGGCACAAGGUACAUCAGGCGCGGGCACAUCCAGGGCGCACACUUUGCCCGCGCCCACGCAAGCCGAAACUAAACGACGUAGUUUCUUCACUCUCAAGAAAAAAAAAGCCAAAAAGUAGAAAGUGUGAAACCAAUGAACUGUAAGAAAACAGUACACAAUUGGAACAACAUUUAGAGAGAUUGCGCUAAACUGGAGCAGUGAAGUUCGGUAUAAGCCGCUCAGCACAACACACACAGUUUAAAAGAAAUGUUUCGUCGCUCUACGUGGUUAAAACAAAUAAUAAUAAUAAUAAUAAUAAUAAAAAAAAAGCAACGCUGAUUAUUAAAAUUAGGAGACAUACACGCGGACAUGGUGUUUGAAAAAAAAAAAAAAAAAGAAAAAAGAAAAAAAAGAAAAGAAAUGAAUCGAAGGACAAUUCAACUUGCUAUUAUAACAUUCGUGUCGUUUUAUGAAAAUACGCCUAUCAUCUUCGAAUAUUAUUCGCCAGAAAGAAAAAAAAAAAAAAAAGAAAAGAAAAAAAAAAUUAAUAGAAAAUAUUUCAGCAGCUGUCUGUAUGUGUUUUCACGCGCGUGUAGGCCAUUUUUAAAGUCUCUGAUUGCGUUUUUUUAAUUUUUUUAAAAAAUUUUCGAACACACUUUGCAAUAUAUUCGCUAGUUGAGAAAAUGACACACACAUACAUACAUACACACAUUCGAAUAAUGUCCCACGUUAGCGUGAUCGAGUUACUCGAAGAAUAUUGGAUAUUGAUCGUCAAAAUUAAUUCUCCACUUUUUUUUUUUUUUUUUUUGGCAUAAUUGCAUGGCAACGCAAUAAUGAUAACACGAUACAAGAUAGAUCCUGUAAUUUAACCCUUUGCGCUCCAACGAUGAUUUCUUUCUUCGCCAUCACUUGGAUUGAUGCGGCAACUUGAACGGCGACAAUAUUUAUUUAUCGAUUUGAUUUUUAAACGGAUUUAUUGUUAAAUGGAUAACAUGCACAGAAUUGGAAAAUGAAUUUGUAUUCGAAAAAUCUGCAGAACUGCAAGUAUCUAGAAUAUAUAAGUGAAUUAGAUUUUUUCAAACUAUUAUAGUGCGUGAAACAAAUAAUUAUGUAAUAAAAAAGUUAGAGGGAAAAGUACUAUUACUCUAUUUGCUUUGAUAAACCGAGGAUGCAUCUUGCUUCAUAAAAUAUUGAAAAAAAAAAAACAACAAUAUAGACUUUAAUAUUCAUUAAUUUUUUUUCCUUUAUAUAUAAAGAUAUAUAAAAUAUUAAAAUAUAAAAAUUUUAUGCGUUAAUUUGUGCGUGAAAUUAUUAUAAAUUAAUUGUAAGAAAUUCCAUCGAACGUGUGGAUGGGAAUCGUUUGGAGUUGCUGGUACGACCGAGCGAAAAAUAGGCUUGGAGUGCGAAGGGUUAAUAUGUGGUAUUUUAUAUUGUUUUUUUUUAAUGUCAUUAAGACGAUCAUUUGUCUUUGUAAUUUUAUUAUUAAUGUCAUGUUGCUGCAAAAGUUCUCCAGAUAUUUGAAAGUGAAAUAAGAAUUCAAUCUUGAAUUCAUGCUCAUGUUUAAAAUUACAUAUUGAAAGAAAAUAAUAAUGAGUCAAAUAUGAAAAAUGAUCGACAAAUGAUCUGUCAUCUGUUUUAUCAUAAUAUGUACUUGUUAAUAUUCCUUUCUACAAUAUUUUCUACAUAUAUUUUAUCUUUUUUAAUAUUUUAGAUAUUUCAAUGUUGAAAUAAUGCUUUAAAAAUUUAAGAAAUAAUGCCUUAGAAUAUAUUUUAUAUUCUUGUUUUAAUUGCAAGUUGUUGAAAUGUUGAAAUAAUUGAAAAGUAAAUUUUUUAAUCUUUUUAUAUUAUAUUAUAUUAUAUUAGAUAAAAGUUUAGGUAAAAAUAAAAAAUAAAAUUACUUAUAUAUAAGUUAUAGAACUAUAUAUACAUUGUUUUUAUUUUAGAAAGAACUUUUAUAUCAGAGCUUGUGCAGUGACUUGAUAUGCGACUUGUUGCUCGUCUUAAGAAGGAAAGAAGCGUUGUAUAAUUUAUAUAAUUUAUAUAAUUUUUGCCUUUGUUUCAUCUAUUGUAAACAGCUCAAUUGCGUGAUGCACGUUCAUUUGCAACGACUGUACGUACACUUUCUCGCCCUGCACGUUUAUUUUAAUUUCAUAUUUCUCCGCAAACGAUUCGUUUGCGUUUCGAUAACUGCCAUAUAUAUAUUUUUAAGCGGCACACUAACUUGGGACAUAAUAUAUAUAUAAAUAUAUAAAUAUAUAAAUAUUAUAUAUAAAUAUAAAUAAAAAAUUAGCUUUAAAAAAAUUGUUAAAUAUAUGCUAUGCCGCAAGGGAUACGCAUUGGAGGAUUAUAAAAAAAAAAAAAAAAAAAAAA